AGGGCACCACCAGGAGUGGAGCCUGCGGCUUAAUUUGACUCAACACGGGAAAACUCACCCGGCCCGGACACUGGAAGGAUUGACAGAUUGAGAGCUCUUUCUUGAUUCAGUGGGUGGUGGUGCAUGGCCGUUCUUAGUUGGUGGAGCGAUUUGUCUGGUUAAUUCCGAUAACGAACGAGACUCUAGCCUACUAAAUAGACUGUUCAGCUUUAUAGCCGGAAUCACUGGGCGUGUAGCUCUCCGCAAGGGGGGUUGCAUGUUCGGCUCUGGUGACGUUGGCAGUGCUUCUUAGAGGGACAGGCGGCGGUUCAGCCGCACGAAACAGAGCAAUAACAGGUCUGUGAUGCCCUUAGAUGUCCGGGGCUGCACGCGCGCUACACUGAAGUGAUCAGCGUGCAAUUUACGUUUGGUGAUCUGUCAAGAUUGCCCAACCCGUUGAACCUUCUUCGUGAUUGGGAUAGGGGAUUGUAAUUAUUCCCCUUGAACGAGGAAUUCCCAGUAAGCGCAAGUCAUAAGCUU
rnacentral:rRNA from 1 species